AUUGAACGCUGGCGGCAUGCCUUACACAUGCAAAUCGAACGGUAACAGGUCUUCGGAUGCUGACGAGUGGCGAACGGGUGAGUAAUACAUCGGAACGUGCCCGAUCGUGGGGGAUAACGAGGCGAAAGCUUUGCUAAUACCGCAUACGAUCUACGGAUGAAAGCGGGGGAUCUUCGGACCUCGCGCGGACGGAGCGGCCGAUGGCAGAUUAGGUAGUUGGUGGGAUAAAAGCUUACCAAGCCGACGAUCUGUAGCUGGUCUGAGAGGAUGAUCAGCCACACUGGGACUGAGACACGGCCCAGACUCCUACGGGAGGCAGCAGUGGGGAAUUUUGGACAAUGGGCGAAAGCCUGAUCCAGCCAUGCCGCGUGCAGGAUGAAGGCCUUCGGGUUGUAAACUGCUUUUGUACGGAACGAAAAGCCUCUUUCUAAUAAAGAGGGGUCAUGACGGUACCGUAAGAAUAAGCACCGGCUAACUACGUG
rnacentral:rRNA from 1 species